UUAAUUUAAUUUAAUUAAUUUAUUUAUUUUGAGACAGAGUCUCUCUCUGUUGCCCAGGCUGGAGUACAAUAGCGCAAUCAUAGCUCACUGCAGCCCCAACCUCCUGGGUUCAAAUGAUCCCCCAACCUCAGCCCUCUGAGUAGCUAGAACUACAAGUGCACACCACCACACCCAACUAAUUUGAAAUUUCUGUAAAGAUGGGGGUCUUGCUGUGUUGCCCAGGCUGAUCUUGAACUUCUGGCCUCAAAGGAUGCUCCCACCUCAGCCACCCAAAGCAUUGGGAUUGCAGCUGUGAGCCACUGCACUCAGCCUCCAUAAAUGUUUGUGACCCCAGAGCAUCCACUUUGCCUU
rnacentral:antisense_RNA from 1 species